rnacentral:rRNA from 1 species
CAGUCGCCACGGUAAUACGGAGGGCGCGAGCGUUACCCGGAUUUACUGGGCGUAAAGGGCGUGUAGGCGGCCUGGGGCGUCCCAUAUGAAAGGCCACGGCUCAACCGUGGAGGAGCGUGGGAUACGCUCAGGCUAGAGGGUGGGAGAGGGUGGUGGAAUUCCCGGAGUAGCGGUGAAAUGCGCAGAUACUGGGAGGAACGCCGAUGGCGAAGGCAGCCACCUGGUCCACUUCUGACGCUGAGGCGCGAAAGCGUGGGGAGCAAACCGGAUUAGAUACCCCAGUAGUCCCUGUCUCUUAUAC